rnacentral:rRNA from 1 species
AUGACGGCUCCAUAUAUUGCCAAAAAAUAUCUUGAAGAUAUCAGAGAUAAUGAGACGAUUGAUGCACAAUCAUUGGGGGAAAAAGUGCAGAAGGACUUCAACUUGGCUGCUGGAAGAAUGAAACUACAAAGGGCAAAAAAGAAAGCAAUGACUGUUAUUAGAGGUGAUGAGGAGAAGCAAUACAAUUUGCUUUGGGAUUAUGCUCAGGAGAUAAGGAGAUCAAACCCAGGGAGCAGUGUCUUCCUAAACUUGGAUGUUCAUGGUUUGUUCCAGACUAUGUACUUCUCCCUUGAUGCUUGUAAGAGGGGGUUCUUAGAGGGCUGUAGGCCUCUACUUUUCUUUGAUGGUUGCCACUUGAAAACUAGGCAUGGUGGUGUGAUGUUGACAGCAAUAGGGAUUGACCCUAAUGAUUGUGUUUUUCCAAUUGCAAUGGCUGUGGUGGAUGGGGAGAACAAGAAUAGCUGGAAGUGGUUCAUGAACACUUUGAAGCGAGACUUGAACAUCAGCAACACUGCGGCAUAUACCAUCAUGUCAGAUAAGCAGAAAGGUUUGAUACUUGCAGUAGAACAAGAAUUUUCAGAUUGUCCACAUAGGUUUUGUGUAAGACAUCUGUACCAAAACUUCAACACGAUUCACAAGGGGGAAGUUCUCAAGGAUCAACUUUGGGCUUGCGCUAGAUCUAGCAACACAGAACAGUUGGAAAGAAACAUGGAGAAACUCAAGUUGUUGAGUCCAGAAGCACAUGCAUGGCUUGAUGGGCACCCACCAGACCAAUGGUGUAGAGCCUUCUUUGAUUGUUUCUGCAAGAGUGACACACUAAUGAAUAAUCAUUGUAAAGUGUUCAACAAAUACAUACUUGAUGCUAGAGAGCUUCCUAUCCUUAGUAUGUGGGAGAAGAUAAGGAUGCAGCUUAUGCACAAAAUGGUUGAGUAUGCAAGGAUUUGUGAGAAUAAAUGGACUAGCAACAUAUGCCCCAAAAUCAUGGACAAACUGCAGAAGAAUGUGAAGUAUGCAAACAAUUGUUUUCCUCACAGACCUGGGCAUGGAGUAUACGAAGUCAAGAGCAAAUCCUUCAGCUAUGAGGUCAACAUGCUGCAAAACAGUUGUGACUGCCGGAGAUGGCAACUAACAGGCAUUCCAUGUUCUCAUGCAGCUGCUUGCAUGAGAGAGGAGAGAAUAAAGCCCGAAACAUGGAUAGCAGCUUGUUAUACAAGGGACAAGUAUAUGAAAACUUAUGGACACACUAUCUGGCCAGUUAGGGACAAAAGUUUUUGGGAAAAGACAAAUGGAAGGGAAGUGGGAGCACCAUUGUAUAAGAAGAAAGCUGGAAGGAAAGCAAAUAAAAGGAGAGAGCACCCAUCAGAGAAAGAACAAGGUACAAGGCUCAACAAGCAUGGUGUGAAGAUGCACUGUAGCCAUUGCAGAGACCCUAACCACAAGAGGCCAGGUUGCCCUAUCCUACAUCCAGAACUGAAACUUCAACCACAAAGAAGAAACAAUGAAGAAGAUAUUGAUGAUUCUUCUAUUUUAGAGCAUAUUGUUCCUGAAGAGGGCAUUCCUGAGUUAAUUCCAACACAAUGCAGUGAAACUCUAGUUGACGAACUGCUAGUAGAAGAAAUCACUGAGUUGGAGAAUUUUCACAGUCGAAGGAAAGGUCCACUGCCUAGCAAUGCUUUCGUUGAAGAGCACAUAAAUAAUAUUCCUGCUUCAAGGGCA